rnacentral:rRNA from 1 species
CCUACGGGAGGCAGCAGUGGGGAAUCUUGCGCAAUGGGCGAAAGCCUGACGCAGCCAUGCCGCGUGAAUGAUGAAGGUCUUAGGAUUGUAAAAUUCUUUCACCGGGGACGAUAAUGACGGUACCCGGAGAAGAAGCCCCGGCUAACUUCGUGCCAGCAGCCGCGGUAAUACGAAGGGGGCUAGCGUUGCUCGGAAUUACUGGGCGUAAAGGGAGCGUAGGCGGAUAGUUUAGUCAGAGGUGAAAGCCCAGGGCUCAACCUUGGAAUUGCCUUUGAUACUGGCUAUCUUGAGUAUGGGAGAGGUAUGCGGAACUCCGAGUGUAGAGGUGAAAUUCGUAGAUAUUCGGAAGAACACCAGUGGCGAAGGCGGCAUACUGGCCCAUUACUGACGCUGAGGCUCGAAAGCGUGGGGAGCAAACAGGAUUAGAUACCCUGGUAGUCCACGCUGUAAACGAUGAGUGCUAGUUGUCGGCAUGCAUGCAUGUCGGUGACGCGAGCUACGACAUAAGACACUCCGCCGUCGGGAGGUACGGUCGCGAUGAGUUAAACGUAACGAAAGAAGUUAGACGGCGUGAGACGUGACCGACGGACGACGACGAGGGAGGAGG